rnacentral:lncRNA from 12 species
UCAUUAUACAUUCAUCAGGUCAGGUUCUUUUCCUCUGGAGAGUGGUAAGACCUGGGAGGCAGGGUUUUAGCUGCAAAGGAAGGGAGGAGGAAACUUGCCUUUUCCUUGCUCCUGAUCUGUGUGUUUAUUUUUUGGUUGAGGGCACAGGGCUGAAUGCAUCUGAGUUAACUGUGUAUAUGACAGCUACCUCUCUCUCCCAUGUGGCCAUGGCAAAAAGAGCUGCGGGAAUAGGAUGUAGGUUCCGAAUUCAAAUCUCCAUUUGUUUAUUAAAUGAGCCACACUGGUCUCCUCGAGCCUCUUGCUUGUGGAUAAGAUGAUGAUUUCUGGAGUGCCUUCCAAAGUUUUUCUAGAUUUGAUUUGCCAAGGUAGAUUUGGAAACCUCCUAUCACCUUGCAAAUUACGACCCAAUGUAUUUAUAUGAUAAAAUGAUUUAAAACAGAAGUUGUAAAAGGGAUCUAGAAUUGGAUUUAAAUGUCUACUGUUUUUAAUUUCCCUCUACUUUUUCAUCAGUGGCACUGGCUGACUCCUCUAAAUCUGGAGGCAGGUGGGGAGUCUGAUAAGAAACUCCUCCACUUGACUUUGAGGUGAAACCCCUUUGCUUGACUCUGAUGGCACAGGACCAUCUAGGCUGGUGCUCCUCGUUCUUGUGUGUUCUUCCAAGUGUCUUGUAGUAGUGUUUAUUCUCUGGGACACAUUAGGAAGAAAGGCGUGAGGUAAGAGCGUUGUCGAUGAGCUGCUUCUGGGGGCCAGGGAUCUGCUUCUGUCAGUGGGCAGACUUGGAGAAUAUUGGAAAACCAUGGCCCUAAUAGUGCACCUUUUGCAAACACUUGUCUUUGGAGGGUUGUUUACAUAACACAGCAGAUGUAAUUAUCUUUGCAGCACCUGUUCUGAAAGAGGCAAUGAGGAGACACCAUUAGUGCUUCCUGUCUUACUUUCACUUAAGUUGUUCUAUGGCAAGUGUGACUGACGACUAGUUAGCCUCAAGAUUUUGGACCCAAAGAAUGAAUUCUGGUUGGAGGAGGGCAUAGGGGAGUUACCUACGAGCUGCCUAAACACCUGGUCAUAUUCAUCAUUUUUUUUUUGUCAGAUCAGUAAGCCAGAUGUCUGGCAUCAUGGCAAAAUGAAAUGGACACCCUUUCUCAUCCUAUCUGUAUUUUGUAUUUUCAGUAGGUAUUACAGCUGCAAUCGGUGUCAUCACUAUAACUAGGGAACAGCUAUAGGAAAUUCAUUAUUUAAAAUCCUGGGGGUUGUUGAGAUUCUGAAAGAUACCAGUUUUAAAAUGCAUCCACUUUGGUGACCUAUGUUAUUCCGUGAACA